rnacentral:rRNA from 1 species
GUUAACCCCCUCUAUAAAACUCUCGAAUUUUUUUAACUAACUCAUUUCUAAUAGGUGAACCUGCGGAAGGAUCAUUAACGAGUUAGGGUCUUCUAGGCCCGACCUCCCAACCCUGUGUUUAAUCGACCUCACGUUGCUUCGGCGAGCCCGUCCCUCAAGGACCGCCGGAGGACCAUAACCCGUCCUCUGGUCCGCGCUCGUCGGUGGCCAACCACAAACUCUUUGUUAAACAUAUCAUCUAAGUCAUAACAUUUAAUUAAAGCAAAACUUUCAACAACGGAUCUCUUGGUUCUGGCAUCGAUGAAGAACGCAGCGAAAUGCGAUAAGUAAUGCGAAUUGCAGAAUUCCAGUGAGUCAUCGAAUCUUUGAACGCACAUUGCGCCCUUUGGCAUUCCGAAGGGCAUGCCUGUUCGAGCGUCAUUAUCACCCCUCAAGCCCCCCUUCUUAAUUGAAGCCGGCUUGGUGUUGGACGGCUUGGUGUCAGCGAUGUCACCCCUCCUAAAGACAAUGACGGCGGCUUCGUGAGACCCCCGGUACACUGAGUUCCUCACCGAACACGUACUGGACCAUGGGUAGACGGAGCCCCGGUCGACCUCCCUUCACGGGGAGAUUUCUUCUCAGGUUGACCUCGGAUCAGGUAGGAAUACCCGCUGAACUUAAGCAUAUCA